rnacentral:rRNA from 1 species
GCGGCAACAGCUCAAAUUUGAAAUCUGGCCCCCAGGGUCCGAGUUGUAAUUUGUAGAGGAUGCUUUUGGCGCGGUGCCUUCUGAGUUCCCUGGAACGGGACGCCACAGAGGGUGAGAGCCCCGUAUAGUCGGACACCAAGCCUCUGUAAAGCUCCUUCGACGAGUCGAGUAGUUUGGGAAUGCUGCUCAAAAUGGGAGGUAAAUCUCUUCUAAAGCUAAAUACAGGCUAGAGACCGAUAGCGCACAAGUAGAGUGAUCGAAAGAUGAAAAGCACUUUGAAAAGAGGGUUAAAAAGCACGUGAAAUUGUUGAAAGGGAAGCGCUUGUGACCAGACUUGCGCCCGGUUGAUCAUCCAGCGUUCUCGCUGGUGCACUCUGCCGGGCUCAGGCCAGCAUCGGUUCUUGCGGGGGGAUAAAAGCUGUGGGAAUGUAGCUCCCUCGGGAGUGUUAUAGCCCGCUGCAGAAUACCCCCGCGGGGACCGAGGUACGCGUUCCGCAAGGAUGCUGGCGUAAUGGUCACCAGCGACCCGUCUUGAAACACGGACCAAGGAGUCAAGCAUUAGGGCGAGUGUUUGGGUGUCAAACCCGCACGCGAAAUGAAAGUGAACGUAGGUGAGAGCUUCGGCGCAUCAUCGACCGAUCCUGAUGUAUUCGGAUGGAUUUGAGUAAGAGCCUUACCGCUUGGACCCGAAAGAUGGUGAACUAUGCUUGAAUAGGGUGAAGCCAGAGGAAACUCUGGUGGAGGCUCGCAGCGGUUCUGACGUGCAAAUCGAUCGUCAAA